rnacentral:rRNA from 1 species
UACGUAGGGGGCAAGCGUUGUCCGGAUUUAUUGGGCGUAAAGAGCGUGUAGGCGGCCAGGUAGGUCCGUUGUGAAAACUCGAGGCUCAACCUCGAGACGUCGGCGGAAACCCUCUGGCUAGAGUCCGGAAGAGGAGAGUGGAAUUCCUGGUGUAGCGGUGAAAUACGUAGAUAUCAGGAGGAACACCGGUGGCGAAGGCGGCCUGCUGGGACGUGGCUGACGCUGAGGCGCGACAGCGUGGGGAGCAAACAGG